rnacentral:rRNA from 1 species
AUUGAACGCUGGCGGCAGGCCUAACACAUGCAAGUCGAGCGGAGCGGCGGACGGGUGAGUAAUGCCAAGGAAUCUGCCAGGUAGUGGGGGAUAACGACCGGAAACGGGCGCUAAUACCGCAGACUAUCAGCAGCGCCUAGGUCGGAUUAGCUAGUGGGUGGGGUAAAGGCCUACCAGGGCGACGAUCCGUAACUGGUCUGAGAGGAUGAUCAGUCACACUGUAACUGAUACACGGUCCAGACUCCUACGGGAGGCAGCAGUGGGGAAUAUUGGACAAUGGGCGAAAGCCUGAUCCAGCCAUGCCGCGUGUGUGAAGAAGGUCUUCGGAGUGUAAAGCACUUUAAGUUGGGAGGCGUUACCAACAGAAUAAGCACCGGCUAACUUCGUGCCAGCAGCCGCGGUAAUUC